rnacentral:rRNA from 1 species
GAUCAUGGCUCAGGAUAAACGCUGGCGGCGUGCUUAACACAUGCAAGUCGAACGGAGUAAAUUCUCCCGAAGAUUGAGGAAGCUUGCUUCUGAAAGAUUCAUUGAAUACUUAGUGGCGGACGGGUGAGUAACGCGUGGGAAACCUGCCCUAUACUGGGGGAUAGCAGUUGGAAACGGCUGAUAAUACCGCAUAAGCGCACAGCUUCGCAUGAAGCAGUGUGAAAAAACUCCGGUGGUAUAGGAUGGUCCCGCGUCUGAUUAGCUAGUUGGUGAGGUAACGGCCCCACCAAGGCAACGAUCAGUAGCCGGCCUGAGAGGGUGUACGGCCACAUUGGGACUGAGACACGGCCCAAACUCCUACGGGAGGCAGCAGUGGGGAAUAUUGGACAAUGGGGGAAACCCUGAAUCCAGCGACGCCGCGUGAACGAAGAAGUAUUUCGGUAUGUAAAGUUCUAUCAGCAGGGAAGAUAAUGACGGUACCUGACUAAGAAGCACCGGCUAAAUACGUGCCAGCCGCGGC